rnacentral:rRNA from 1 species
UACGAAGGUCACUAGCGUUGCUCGGAUUGACUGGGCGUAAAGGGCGUGUAGGCGGCCUUGCAAGUUGGGUGUGAAAUCCCUGGGCUUAACCCGGGAACUGCAUUCAAAACUGCAUGGCUUGACGGUCGGAGAGGUAAGUGGAAUUCCUAGUGGAGAGUUGAAAUUCGUAGAUAUUAGGAAGAACACCAGUGGCGAAAGCGGCUUACUGGACGACGCGUGACGCUGAGGCGCGAAAGCGUGGGGAGCAAACAGG